rnacentral:rRNA from 1 species
AUGGAAGAUUGCAAAUCGAAGAGGUCUUCAGCACCUAAUGGACAGAAUCAACAACAACCAUCUCUAGGAUGGAUCCCACGUCGGCUCGGAUCUGUGAAGAUAAGAGUAGAUGGUGCAGUUUCAAGGAACCAAAACGAAGGAUCGUUCAGCACGGUCUGUAGGGAUGCCUCGGGUCUUUACUUGGGUUCUUCCGCAAUCAGAGUCAGAGACGUCACUGAUCCACCAACCUUGGAAGCAUUGGCAUGUCGAGAAGCGCUUGCUCUGGCCACGGACCUUUGUCUAUCACAUGUAAUCAUCGCCUCAGAUUGCCAAGGUGUUGUCAAGGAUAUUCACAAACAGGAGGGAGGGUUGUAUGCAAGCAUAGUAAGGAAAAUUGUAGACACUGCAAGAACAAUCAACGACUGCACCUUCAUCUUCGAGGGUAGAGCUACAAAUAUUGAUGCACAUAGCCUCGCUAAGCACGCUUUCGGUCUGGACUUUGGGUGCCAUGUGUGGCUUAUAAACCCGCCAGAUCUUCGAUGUAUCCCCAUGAAUAUCUCUGAGUUCUAA